UUCUAACUGGGGCCGUUUAAUCAGA
rnacentral:piRNA from 1 species